rnacentral:rRNA from 1 species
CCUACGGGACGCACCAGUGGGGAAUAUUGCACAAUGGGCGCAAGCCUGAUGCAGCCAUGCCGCGUGUAUGAAGAAGGCCUUCGGGUUGUAAAGUACUUUCAGCGAGGAGGAAGGCAUUAAGGUUAAUAACCUUGGUGAUUGACGUUACUCGCAGAAGAAGCACCGGCUAACUCCGUGCCAGCAGCCGCGGUAAUACGGAGGGUGCAAGCGUUAAUCGGAAUUACUGGGCGUAAAGCGCACGCAGGCGGUCUGUCAAGUCGGAUGCGAAAUCCCCGGGCUCAACCUGGGAACUGCAUUCGGAACUGGCAGGCUAGAGUCUUGUAGAGGGGGGUAGAAUUCCAGGUGUAGCGGUGAAAUGCGUAGAGAUCUGGAGGAAUACCGGUGGCGAAGGCGGCCCCCUGGACAAUGACUGACGCUCAGGUGCGAAAGCGUGGGGAGCAAACAGGAUUAGAUACCCUCGUAG